rnacentral:rRNA from 1 species
AUUAACAAAACAAUGAACUUAUAACGAACUGACUGUAGCAGGAAACUGCUCUCUGAACUUGCUCAAACAAACCAUAACUAAAGUUGGUUGAUAAAAU